GGGAACGUGGGGGAUGCCUAUAAUGCAAGUCGAACGAGCUUCCGUUGAAUGACGUGCUUGCACUGAUUUCAACAAUGAAGCGAGUGGCGAACUGGUGAGUAACACGUGGGAAAUCUGCCCAGAAGCAGGGGAUAACACUUGGAAACAGGUGCUAAUACCGUAUAACAACAAAAUCCGCAUGGAUUUUGUUUGAAAGGUGGCUUCGGCUAUCACUUCUGGAUGAUCCCGCGGCGUAUUAGUUAGUUGGUGAGGUAAAGGCCCACCAAGACGAUGAUACGUAGCCGACCUGAGAGGGUAAUCGGCCACAUUGGGACUGAGACACGGCCCAAACUCCUACGGGAGGCAGCAGUAGGGAAUCUUCCACAAUGGACGAAAGUCUGAUGGAGCAAUGCCGCGUGAGUGAAGAAGGGUUUCGGCUCGUAAAACUCUGUUGUUAAAGAAGAACACCUUUGAGAGUAACUGUUCAAGGGUUGACGGUAUUUAACCAGAAAGCCACGGCUAACUACGUGCCAGCAGCCGCGGUAAUACGUAGGUGGCAAGCGUUGUCCGGAUUUAUUGGGCGUAAAGCGAGCGCAGGCGGUUUUUUAAGUCUGAUGUGAAAGCCUUCGGCUUAACCGGAGAAGUGCAUCGGAAACUGGGAGACUUGAGUGCAGAAGAGGACAGUGGAACUCCAUGUGUAGCGGUGGAAUGCGUAGAUAUAUGGAAGAACACCAGUGGCGAAGGCGGCUGUCUAGUCUGUAACUGACGCUGAGGCUCGAAAGCAUGGGUAGCGAACAGGAUUAGAUACCCUGGUAGUCCAUGCCGUAAACGAUGAGUGCUAAGUGUUGGAGGGUUUCCGCCCUUCAGUGCUGCAGCUAACGCAUUAAGCACUCCGCCUGGGGGAGUACGACCGCAAGGUUGAAACUCAAAGGAAUUGACGGGGGCCCGCACAAGCGGUGGAGCAUGUGGUUUAAUUCGAAGCUACGCGAAGACCUUACCAGGUCUUGACAUCUUCUGCCAAUCUUAGAGAUAGACGUUCCCUUCGGGGACAGAAUGACAGGUGUGCAUGGUGUCGUCAGCUCGUGUCGUGAGAUGUUGGGUUAGUCCCGCAACGAGCGCAACCCUAUAUCAGUGCAGCAUUCAGUGGCCCUCUGGUGAGACUGCCGGUGACAACGGAGAGGUGGGAUGACGUCAAAUCAUCAUGGCCCUUAUGACCUGGGGUUAA
rnacentral:rRNA from 1 species